rnacentral:lncRNA from 1 species
GAUUCAUGCUUUAAGAAAGGAAAGAUUUAAAGGAAGCUCGGUGACAACAGAGUUGAGCUGAAUGAGGAUGUGUUUAUAUGGAGGGUGGAGGGAAACAGUGCUUACACAGCAGGAUAUUUAUCAGAUAUUCAACUUCAGCCUGGGAAGAGAAUAUGAAUGAUUUUGUUCUCCUGAAGGAUCAGGAGAUGAGUAUCCUUCUGCCUCUGCUGAUUGGUUAAUGCCUCAGCAACAUCCCAGCCUAUUAUUCUACUUUUCAUCCUAUCAACAAGUUGUGAGCCAAUUUCACGAAGACACCAAGUUUGAUCUGAUGACGGCAACAUUCCCCAAUGCAUUGCAAGACGUGGGGCAAGCAGUAUGCAUGAUCCUGCCUUGAAGGAGCAUUGAAGCUGGUUUGUCUCUGAUCACAGGGGGAGAUGGAGGUCAGUCAUUCAAGCAGCCUGUCCUUGGCUUUCUCCCCACACAAGAAAGCACCAGCCAAUGGUGCUUUGGCUCGGUGUGAUGGAUGGACUGUUUCCCUUCCUGGGUCACCUGCUAUCCUAGUUUGGAUCUCUGCAGGUAGACUGUCUCUGAUCACAGCAGGGAGCUGGGGAAGGAUCUUUCCAGGACCUAGCAUAUGCACAAGGUGGGAUGAAGAAAGGCUUGUACAUGCUGUGCCCCCAAAUCCGGAGACAGAAACCAAGCUGAACCACAUUAAACUGUGGCUGGAGUUCUGCAGCCUCUUUAAGGUGCCAUUUAAUGCAGCGCUCCGAAAGUCUCUGAUAGGGCUAAGCUCACAGGAAGCGAGAGGUGUGUUUUUGUGGAGGUGGCCUCUGAGUUCCCAUUGGGUGCACCACUGCACAUCGAGCUGGGAAAAACUUCUGCAGCAGGAGCGCCACAUCAUGUUACGUGGCAGCUUUGUAACAAGAGGAAAAUUAUUUCCUCUGGUACUGUACUUGCUGUUGAACUAG